UACAGAGGGGGCAAGCGUUAUUCGGAAUUAUUGGGCGUAAAGGGCGCGUAGGCGGCUUGGCAAGUGGAUGGUGAAAUCCCUCGGCUUAACCGAGGAACUGCCACUCAGACUGCUUUGCUUGAGGCCGGGAGAGGUGAGUUGGAAUUCCCGAGUGUAGCGGUGAAAAUGCGUAGAUAUUGGGAGGAACACCAGUGGCGAAGGCGGCUCACUGGACCGGUUCUGACGCUGAUGCGCGAAAGCGUGGGGAGCAAACGGG
rnacentral:rRNA from 1 species